GACGAACGCUGGCGGCGCGCUUAACACAUGCAAGUCGAGCGAAGCGGCGGACGGGUGAGUAACGCGUAGGAACCUGCCUAUUAGAGGGGGAUAACUAUUGGAAACGAUAGCUAAUACCGCAUACUAUUGGAGCGGCCGAUAUCGGAUUAGCUAGUUGGUGGGGUAACGGCCUACCAAGGCGACGAUCCGUAACUGGUCUGAGAGGAUGAUCAGUCAAACUGGAACUGAGACACGGUCCAGACUCCUACGGGAGGCAGCAGUGGGGAAUAUUGGACAAUGGGCGAAAGCCUGAUCCAGCCAUGCCGCGUGUGUGAAGAAGGUCUUCGGAUUGUAAAGCACUUUAAGUUGGGAGGCGUUACCAACAGAAUAAGCACCGGCUAACUUCGUGCCAGCAGCCGCGGUAAUAC
rnacentral:rRNA from 1 species